rnacentral:lncRNA from 1 species
UUGGGCACCAGUGAGAACAAACUCUGCUUUGACCUUCUGUCCUGGCGGCUGACACAGAAUGACAUGCUUCAUGUGGAGCCAUCUCUGCUGCAGUACCCUGACUGGAGAGGGCAUCGGUUCCUCCGGAAAGAAGUGGCAAGGUUCUUGUCUUUCUAUUGUAAGAGCCCGGCACCCCUCAAACCAGAAAAUGUGGUUGUUCUGAAUGGCUGUGCCUCUCUCUUUUCUGCUCUGGCCACAGUGCUGUGCGAGCCAGGAGUGGAUUAAUCUGGAUGUGAACUCAUCAUAAGUGAAGGAGCAUCUAUAUCAGAAGAAACCUGAUCUUGGGGGAUCCAAGCUUUAAGAAGUCCUCUUGAUCCCCACCCCUUACUACGGAGCCAUCACCCAGCACAUCUAUCUCUAUGGC